rnacentral:tRNA from 1 species
GCCGGCUUAGCUCAGUUGGCUAGAGCGGUUGACUUGUAAUCAGCAGGUCGUGGGUUCGAUUCCCACAGUCGGCUCCA